CACCGGCGAGCACCCACCGCCCCUGCAGCGUGCCUACCAGCCCGACAGCAUCCCCCUCAUCAUGGCCCAGCAGGAACCCAAUGUGGACACCCUACCCAGGAAAUGAAGCCAUGGGAAUUGACCAAAUGAAGACUUAUGGUUUGCUGUGGUUUCUAAUAGAGCGAUAUGCACUAUGCUGACUUCUGCUGUGUUAUGUGUGCUGGAUUUGACCGUGUUUAUUUAAUUCUGCUGUGAGUGAAACUGCAUUUUCACAUGUUUAGUACGUUUACGUGUUUACCACUGUACUGCAUACUGAGCUUCACCACACUUCCCCACUGUUCUACUGAAUGUGUGCAUGAUAUGGAGGAAACACCAGUGUUGUAUUUGUAUGUUAUAAAGAUUCACAUCAAA